rnacentral:rRNA from 1 species
GAUGAACGCUGGCGGCGUGCCUAAUACAUGCCAGUCGAGCGAACAGACGAGGAGCUUGCUCCUCUGACGUUAGCGGCGGACGGGUGAGUAACACGUGGAUAACCUACCUAUAAGACUGGGAUAACUUCGGGAAACCGGAGCUAAUACCGGAUAAUAUAUUGAACCGCAUGGUUCAAUAGUGAAAGACGGUUUUGCUGUCACUUAUAGAUGGAUCCGCGCCGCAUUAGCUAGUUGGUAAGGUAACGGCUUACCAAGGCAACGAUGCGUAGCCGACCUGGGAGGGUGAUCGGCCACACUGGAACUGAGACACGGUCCAGACUCAUACGGGAGGCAGCAGUAGGGAAUCUUCCGCAAUGGGCGAAAGCUUGACGGAGCAACGCCGCGUGAGUGAUGAAGGUCUUCGGAUCGUAAAACUCUGUUAUUAGGGAAGAACAAAUGUGUAAGUAACUAUGCACGUCUUGACGGUACCUAAUCAGAAAGCCACGGCUAACUACGUG